rnacentral:rRNA from 1 species
AACCGGAUUAGAUACCCUGGUAGCCCAUGCCGUAAACGAUGUCAACUAGCCGUUGGGGGAUUUGAUCCUUUAGUGGCGCAGCUAACGCGAUAAGUUGACCGCCUGGGGAGUACGGUCGCAAGACUAAAACUCAAAUGAAUUGACGGGGGCCCGCACAAGCGGUGGAGCAUGUGGUUUAAUUCGAUGCAACGCGAAGAGCCUUACCUGGUCUUGACAUAGUGAGAAUCCUGCAGAGAUGCGGGAGUGCCUUCGGGAAUUCACAUACAGGUGUUGCAUGGCUGUCGUCAGCUCGUGUCGUGAGAUGUUGGGUUAAGUCCCGCAACGAGCGCAACCCUUUUCCUUAUUUGCCAGCACUUCGGGUGGGAACUCUAAGGAUACUGCCAGUGACAAACUGGAGGAAGGCGGGGACGACGUCAAGUCAUCAUGGCCCUUACGACCAGGGCUACACACGUGCUACA